GCGGAAGUGGUGGAACUGGUAGACACACCAUCUUGAGGGGGUGGCGCCCGAAAGGGCAUGCGGGUUCAAGUCCCGCCUUCCGCA
rnacentral:tRNA from 1 species